AGAUACAUUCAAUUGAAACGAAUUUUGAUUAGGAAUCAAAUUUCAUUUCAUUUUCUUUUAUAAUAUGGCAAAUAAGUAUUAACAUUUAGAAAGAAGAAUAAAAACAAAGAGAGCAUUUAUUUAUUUGUGCUUACUCAGCCAACUCUGGGUGAGCACCCAGCCAGUGCGAGGCAUUGGGAGAGGGGAGAAAUCAUUUUCUCCUUAUUCAGUUGUCGGCAAGCAGCCCUAGGUUUAUCAACAACUCUACGAUGUGAUUAUUCAUUUCAAGUUUCUAUUUUGUAAAGUGAUUUUGAAUUUUUCGACAUAUGAAGAUAUUUGUAUAUAAGCUAUACUCAAACCCACUAUUGAAGCGGUCCAAGUUUGUGGCAAACUAAUUUAUGAUUGACUAUGGAAGAAGGAUCCUUGUUAAUGCCAAAUCAAUCCACAGUUGUGAAUAGGAGACAAGGGACUCCAAGUGCAUCAUAUGAGGAACAGGUUAGAACGGAUAUGGAGGAUAGGGAAUAAUUGCCAAGCUGUGUUUUCUUUUAAGCAAUUAUGGAACAUCAUUACCAAAUACUCGGCGACGUAACUCGGUACCGAGGUAAUGUGACGAUCAAAUUAUAUUUUCCGGCAUUGGGAUUCGUGAGAGACUUUAUUAAACAAAUAUAUGGGCCCAUCAUCUAUUUAGAAUAAGGAUAUUGUCAUGUAUAUGAAAUUUUGUGAAGUGGUAAUCCUUUUUUUUAAUAAUGAAUUUCUAAACAUU